GGUUCCCACUGGGCUGACAGAAACGGGAAGAGGGUGAAGUUUUGGGAGGAUCAAUGGUUUGAUACAUGUAGCCUUGCUAUCCAAUUCUGGGAGCUUUAUGCCAUUUUCAAUGAGCAAAAGAUUACUAUUGCUCAUGCUUGGGACGGGACUAAUCUUAGAGUUACUUUUAGAAGAUGUUUUGAUGAGAGACUACUCCAUCAAUGGUCUGAUCUUCUUAGUAUUGCUCAAUCCUUAUCUCUGUUUGAGGAUGAGGGUUUCCCUCAUUUGGAAAUUAGACUCCAAGGGGGUUUACACUUCUUUAUAUGCAGUUUUGCAUUUUAG
rnacentral:rRNA from 1 species